UCCUAUAUCAGGGAAGUAAGUAAGGCAAUGUGUGGAUUAGCAUUUUACACUGUUCUUUUUUAAAGGGAUAGUGCUGUUGGAAGCUAGCCAAAGGCCUGUGGUAUCUACCUGAUGAAGCCAGGUGACUCAUGUAAGCAGAGAGCCAUCAACACCCCUGCUGUGCUUGGAUAUGUAGGAGAUCAAUUCUUCUCUAGCAAUAAGGACAAAAUUACAUGCACAAUAGUGUAGUUACUUUGAGCAGUCAUUUGGGGGCAGCAUAAACAAGAAAACACUAUAAACGAGAAUAAUGCUGGGCUUUUUUACAGAAACACAUUGAACAUACCACAAGAGCAUAGUUUACUACAACACAGGAUUGUUACUGUGCUAAAAAUAAAUAUAAUAUUGCAAGGAAUCUACACAGACUGAACCAUUACGAUUUGUAGCUAUAGCCCUAGAAAUUCUCUCUGUGCUGUGUUUGUAUGAGUUCACUCACUGAGAGUGAAAACUGCUAAUUGUAGACACAGCCUUAUUGUAUUCCCUCGACUCCACUAGCUUUGACAGCCGAUGUAUCUGCUUUUCCCACAGCUCCCUCUGGCCUCCUUCCACCCUGCUCCCUAGGAAUGGAACUUUUUCCCUGAUCUGAUCUGAUCUGAUCAGAUCAUCUGAUCUGAUCUGAUCUGAUCUGUAAGGCCUUUGCCCUCUCCUCCUGCAGAUCCCCACAAGAAUCCACCUCUUUCUGACAAGAAAUUGUCCAAUUAAUGCUGAAUAGACUGAGUGGAAGUCAGAUAUAGUUAAUGUGCAUUUAUUUAAUAAUUAUAAUAGACUCCCCCAUACCCCCAACCAGUAUAGAGAGAAUGUCUAUAAAAAUGGUCCCCAUUUAGAUUGUGUCCCCCUCUCCUCCUUUAGUAUGUUGCUUGUCAGUUGUACUGUAAUUUCUUAAGGGGCAGGGACUAUUUUUCUGAGAGGUGGGGGCAUAGCUUAGCAUAUAGAUUUUGAGUAAAUCAUCCUUUGGUCCCACAGUGACGCUAUCUCAAAUUGCAAUUACAAAGAUUAGUAACAUCUACAGUGGUGUGUGGGGUUUUUUUUUGUUUUUUUUUUGUUUUUUAAAUCUGUGGUUUUAACAACUAUUUCAAAAAAUCCUGAGUUAAAGGCCCUGUUAAGCACAUGGUGGUACUUUAAUUUGUCUGUUUAUCCUCCCUCUAACUCUGAUCUCUAUUCUUCCUGUCAGCACUUAUGGAUCUGAAGCAGGCCAUGUGGAUCUUCAAAGGACAUUGAAAUUACAUUGUAAUAACCUGUAUCUCUGGAAUGAGCCAGGCGAAGGCUGCUGAUGGAACUGCGUUAUGGUAAAACGAUAAAAAUAGAGGCUUGACUAUGAAUGUGAGCAGGCAAUUGGGGAACCAGUGCCAUUGGCGGCAUAUUGAAACAGCAUCAACAGCUUUAACAUAGAACCUCCUGUAGAAGUGAAGUGAGAAAGGAGUUGCUGUUAUGGCUGGCCAGUAUCCUAGCAACAGCUGCAGAGAUGGUAUCAGCAACAUCAUGCCUUGGUUAAAUUGGCUUUGGAUGAGACCAUGCCAAGUCUAUGAAAAUGGGAGCCAUAGCAGGGGUGGUCAGUGGCCAUUUAUCUUCUCUCUGGUGAUUCUGUUUUCAUUGUUCUAGUCUGGUAGUCUCUGGCCAUGACUGAGCUGCUGAGUAGAAAAGGUUGCACAGAUCUAGCACAUGUAAAAGAGCAACAGAUUGUAAUGACAGUUUUGUGUUUGUAGCUUGUGCUUUCAUGCAGUGAAAUUAUACCUGCCCAAACAAUAUGGAGAGAUACUCUGCUGUAAACUAAUAGACAGCUUUAUUAAGUGCUCGGGACACAGCCAGAUAUACUUGGCUCCUAGGUCAAGAAAGCACAGGCAAGCUUAAUUCUGUUUCACUUUUGUGAUCACGGUAAUAUAACCACAGUAUGAACAAUGGACUUUUUAGUGUAAUUGCAGCUUGUGAAUGAUUUGAAAUGAAAAAAAUCACUGAUGACUAUGCCCAAUGCCCAGCUUUAUACAGUAGCCCAUAUGCUCCCCUCUUUUCCACAGAGCAGUUGGGCAUGAAUCAUGCUGCAACGGGGUUUGAGGAAAUGGUGUGCAAAGAGGGGAGAGGAUGUGUUGCCAGGGCACUAUAUAGCUGCCACCAAUCCUUCUGCAGAAGAGCUGCUAUGUGGCUAAAAUUUGUGCAGCUGAUGGAGGUGUUGGGGGAAAGUGAUGGAACAGCUGCAAACCUUCCAUUGACUUCAGGUGUAGUUGAGGUGGUGAUUUAAUUGUUUUGUACCCAGUCUCAUAAUGUCCAGUUUCCUCCAUCUUGAAGUAUGGGUUCCCAAGUCCGGUCCUGCAAUAGGUUGUUGUUACUCGUGAUGAAAGCACCAUGUUCUGCCACUGUGCAGCCACAGUUCAGAACAAGCACUUUAAUGGCCCCAAUCCCCCACUGAUGUAAAACCGUGUAGCUGAGAAUCUGGCACUAAUGUUUAUAAAAAAUCAGCAUUUUUCAGGUAAAUGUUGUAACAGAAGGCACUUAAUGCCUGAUCCAAUAUCCAUUUAACUCAGUGGAAAGGCUCCCACUACCUUCACUGGGCUUUGGAUUGGACUCUAACACAUUGUCUCUUCUAAUAUUAAAAUCCCAGUUAAAAGUGAAAAAAUAAGGGGCAAAUGCACCCCCGUUAGUAGUGACUGAACUUUGUUACCAUCUGGUGUCUGUUUGGUGGCCUCAGUGCAGUUCCCAGUGGGAAGAUAGCUAAAUGUCUCUCAAAAAAGAACACCACAACUGGUACUAGUUGGCAUAGCCAUUGUCAGUGUCUGGAAAGAGGUCCUGGGUUGUACUGAGAUGGGGAUGAGCUAAACUCUGAAACCUAAAGAUAGUACUGCAAUGUCAGGUUUGAACCACAUUAGUGGAGUGGAAACUUGUACUGCUACUUCCCAAGCUGUACCUGUUUAGUUAGUAAAUAAUAAUACCUUGCUCAUGUACAGUUCUUUCCAUCAUUAGAUCUCAAAACACUUCAGAAAGGAGACAGGCAUCGUCACCAUUUUACAGUUGGAGAAACUGAGGCAUAGAGAGGCGGAGCGACUGGUCCAAUGGAUUCCCAGUCAGGAGUUUUAUCCCCUAGGCAACAUUGUCUGGAGCACUUCAUUUUCCCAGGCUGUCAAACCAACCUAUUGCACAAAUGCUAAAUUCACACUCACAAAUUAAAACCUGUUUUAAAAUGAAAAAAAAAACCCAUAGAGAAAGAUUUAAGACCAUAUGUGAGCUCUGAAACUAUUGAGUUAAAUAUGAAGCUGUCAUUCCACGCCUUAAACCGGUAUAUUUUUAAAGCUUUUAUUGAGUUAAGAAAGUGUGAUUUACAUCAAGCAAACUAAUUAAAAGCACAUGAUGUUUGUUUGCUAUGUACUGCACCUUUAAAGCUGGCUGCUGUGGGGGCAACUGUGAAGCUACCGCUAUUGUGCCUGAGGUAAAAUUUUACAGAGUGAGUCAAUGUGCAAGCUCUUUCGCUGAUACUUUGCAUUUAUUCUUUCUUCAGUCAUUUUAUAGAUUCAUAGAUAUUAACGUCAGAAGGGACCAUUACGAUCAUCUAGUCUGACCUCUUGCACAAUGCAGGCCACAGAAUCUCACCCACCCACUCCAUUUUCCUGCAUGUUCAGAUAAAUCACCCCAAAAUGGAAAAUCGGAAACACAGAUACAACAUAAUUUGCUAUUAGUGUUUAUGGAAAACAGUUCAUGACUGCCAUUGCCAGUCAUUGCAAUUAUGUUCUAACGGUUUGGGGACAAGUUUAAAAUUAAAAUAGGAUUUCUCAUGAGAGAGGAUAUUUCCCCCCAAGUAGAAUUAGUAAGAUUUUUUUCUUUCCGUGGGGCCAGAUUCUACCACCCUUCCCUAUGGUGAGUAACACCAGCAGAGACACAAAUCAGUGCAUUCCAUCUCAAAAACCAAGAGGCCAAACUUGAACUCAACCUCAGCUGGCUUGGAAUAAAAUUUACUCAUUCCAUAAAUCCUGUAUACGUUGCUGGUACUCUUGACAGCACAUUUUGCUUCAGAGCCCACAUCUAGAAGGUGAGCAAAUCCUGUAUACGUUGCUGGUACUCUUGACAGCACAUUUUGCUUCAGAGCCCACAUCUAGAAGGUGAGCAUACGAAACAACAUUCUCAGCAAGCUGGGUGCAUUCAAGUAGGGUGCAGACUUGUCCCCUCUGCAGUCAACAGCACUAGCACUGUGCUACUUUUGCUGAUUAGAGGUGGUCAGUGUUUUGGUACAGGAUCUUAAAGAAGGAUUGCUUAUCAAUUCAAUAAUACUACUAACAAUGUUAAGGGGAGAUUUUAAAGGGCAGUUGUGCACCCCUCUCCCAUUGACUUUCAGUAGGAAUUGGGCACCUAAUUCUUUUUUGACUCUUACGUAAUGAUGUUUUCUAUAGACAGUGCGAUGGACAAGAUGUCCUGUCAUCUAUUAAAGCUGAAAAAUUGUUCUUAGCGAAAUCUGGGCAAAAUAAGGAGUAACACAAAAGGGCAGGAUAUUAAACUAUUGCAGUCCAUCAUCACUGAUUACUUACAUAUUUAAAACAGGAAUGCAUGUAGAGGUUGCUUCAAUGGAAGUGUCCUGUUUAACCAAAUGGUACAGUGCUCUGGUGAGGGAGAGAA